rnacentral:rRNA from 1 species
UACGGGGGGGCAAGCGUUGUUCGGAAUUACUGGGCGUAAAGGGCUCGUAGGUGGCCAACUAAGUCAGACGUGAAAUCCCUCGGCUUAACCUGGGAACUGCGUCUGAUACUGGGGGCUUGAGUAUGGGAGAGGGAUGUAGAAUUCCAGGUGUAGCGGUGAAAUGCGUAGAUAUCUGGAGGAAUACCGGUGGCGAAGGCGGCAUCCUGGACCAUAACUGACGCUGAGGCGCGAAAGCGUGGGGAGCGAACGAGGA